CAGCAGCCGCGGGAAAACAGAGGGUGCGAGCGUUAAUCUGAUUUACUGGGCGUAAAGCGUGCGUAGGCGGCUUCUUAAGUCGGAUGUGAAAUCCCUGAGCUUAACUUAGGAAUUGCAUUCGAUACUGGGAAGCUAGAGUAUGGGAGAGGAUGGUAGAAUUCCAGGUGUAGCGGUGAAAUGCGUAGAGAUCUGGAGGAAUACCGAUGGCGAAGGCAGCCAUCUGGCCUAAUACUGACGCUGAGGUACGAAAGCAUGGGGAGCAAACAGGAUUAGAUACCCCCGUAGUCCCUGUCUCUUAUAC
rnacentral:rRNA from 1 species